UACCAGCCCCCUGAGUGGUAUGGACGAUUAUUUGGCCUAAAGCGUCCGUAGCCGGCUCAGCAAGUCUUUCGUUAAAUCUAACGAUUCAAUCGUUAGACUGCGGAAGAUACUGCUAGGCUAGAGGAUGGGAGAGGUCGACGGUAGUCCUGGGGUAGGGGUGAAAUCCUAUAAUCCCAGGAGGACCACCAGUGGCGAAGGCGGUCGACUAGAACAUGCCUGACGGUGAUGGACGAAAGCUGGGGGAGCGAACCGGAUUAGACACCCGGGUAGUCCCAGCUGUAAACGAUGCGGGCUAGGUGUUGGGACAGCCAUGAGCUGCUCCAGUGCCGCAGAGAAGUUGUUAAGCCCGCCGCCUGGGAAGUACGGCCGCAAGGCUGAAACUCAAAGGAAUUGACGG
rnacentral:rRNA from 1 species